rnacentral:rRNA from 1 species
GAGUUUGAUCCUGGCUCAGGACGAACGCUGGCGGCGUGCUUAACACAUGCAAGUGGAGCGACGAACCGGGGCUUGCCCCGGGGCAGAGCCGCGAACGGGUGAGUAACACGUGGGUACCUACCCCGAUGACCGGGACAACCCGAGGAAACUCGGGCUAAUACCGGAUGUGGUCUUCGGACGAAAGGAAGCUUCGGCCUCCGCAUCGGGAUGGGCCCGCGGCGCAUUAGCUUGUUGGUGGGGUAACGGCCUACCAAGGCGACGAUGCGUAGCUGGUCUGAGAGGACGAUCAGCCACACUGGGACUGAGACACGGCCCAGACUCCUACGGGAGGCAGCAGUGGGGAAUCUUGCGCAAUGCGCGAAAGCGUGACGCAGCAACGCCGCGUGGGGGAAGAAGGCCUUCGGGUUGUAAACCUCUUUCAGUUGGGACGAAGCCUUGCGGGUUAAUAGCCCGUGGAGGUGACGGUACCUUCAGAAGAAGCCCCGGCUAACUACGUGCCAGCAGCCGCGGUAAUACGUAGGGGGCAAGCGUUGUCCGGAAUCAUUGGGCGUAAAGAGCGUGUAGGCGGCCCGAUAAGUCCGCUGUGAAAGUCCAGGGCUCAACCCUGGAAUGCCGGUGGAUACUGUCGGGCUCGAAUCCGGAAGAGGUGAGUGGAAUUCCUGGUGUAGCGGUGAAAUGCGCAGAUAUCAGGAGGAACACCAAUGGCGAAGGCAGCUCACUGAGACGGUAUUGACGCUGAGACGCGAAAGCGUGGGGAGCAAACAGGAUUAGAUACCCUGGUAGUCCACGCCGUAAACGAUGGUCACUAGGUGUGGGGGGUGUCGACUCCCUCCGUGCCGGAGCUAACGCAUUAGUGACCCGCCUGGGGAGUACGGCCGCAAGGUUAAACUCAAGGAAUUGACGGGGGCC